CUGGAUACGAAUACCAUUAACGUCAAUUUAUUUUUUUAUUUAUAAUCAACCAAUUCAAAUUUUUUUAUAAGAGUUUGAUCCUGGCUCAGGAUGAACGCUGGCUGU
rnacentral:rRNA from 1 species